UCAUCAAAGCUUGCUUUGAUGGAUGGCGACCAGCGCACGGGUGAGUAACACGUAUCCUCCCUAAAGGCGACACUGGGAUAGNCUUUCGAAAGAAAGAUUCCUUUCGGAUGGCAUAAUUAUUCCGCAUGGGAUGAUUAUUAAAGAAUUUCGGUUGUCGAUGGGGAUGCGUUCCAUUCGGCAGUUGGCGGGGUAACGGCCCACCAAACCAACGAUGGAUAGGGGUUCUGAGAGGAAGGUCCCCCACAUUGGAACUGAGACACGGUCCAAACUCCUACGGGAGGCAGCAGUGAGGAAUAUUGGUCAAUGGACGAGAGUCUGAACCAGCCAAGUAGCGUGAAGGAUGACUGCCCUAUGGGUUGUAAACUUCUUUUAUACGGGAAUAAAGUUAGCCACGUGUGGCUUUUUGUAUGUACCGUAUGAAUAAGGAUCGGCUAACUCCGUGCCAGCAGCCGCGGUAAUACGGAGGAUCCGAGCGUUAUCCGGAUUUAUUGGGUUUAAAGGGAGCGUAGGCGGGUUGUUAAGUCAGUUGUGAAAGUUUGCGGCUCAACCGUAAAAUUGCAGUUGAUACUGGCGACCUUGAGUGCAACAGAGGUAGGCGGAAUUCGUGGUGUAGCGGUGAAAUGCUUAGAUAUCACGAAGAACUCCGAUUG
rnacentral:rRNA from 1 species